AAACUUUACAAUGCGGGAAACCGUGAUAAGGGGACACCGAGUGCCAGCAUCAUAUGCUGGCUGUCCAGGUGUACACCUGUAGCAAGGGCCGGCAAGACCGGUGCCAGCCGCCGCGUUAACACCGGCGGCCCGAGUGGUGAUCGUGAUUAUUGGGUCUAAAGGGUCCGUAGCCGGUUUGGUCAGUCCUCCGGGAAAUCUGACAGCUCAACUGUUAGGCUUCGGGGGAUACUGCCAGACUUGGAACCGGGAGAGGUAAGAGGUACUACAGGGGUAGGAGUGAAAUCUUGUGAUCCCUGUGGGACACCUGUGGCAAGGCGCCUAACUGGAACGACCUGACGGUGAGUAACGAAAGCGGGGGGCGCGAACCGGAUUAGAUACCUGGGUAGUCCCAGCUGUAAACGAUGCUCGCUAGGUGUCACAUGGUCCGUUAGGGAAGCCGUGAAGCGAGCCACUU
rnacentral:rRNA from 1 species